rnacentral:rRNA from 1 species
AGAGUUUGAUCAUGGCUCAGAUUGAACGCUGGCGGCAGGCCUAACACAUGCAAGUCGAACGGUAACAGGAAGCAGCUUGCUGCUUCGCUGACGAGUGGCGGACGGGUGAGUAAUGUCUGGGAAACUGCCUGAUGGAGGGGGAUAACUACUGGAAACGGUAGCUAAUACCGCAUAAUGUCGCAAGACCAAAGAGGGGGACCUUCGGGCCUCUUGCCAUCGGAUGUGCCCAGAUGGGAUUAGCUUGUUGGUGGGGUAACGGCUCACCAAGGCGACGAUCCCUAGCUGGUCUGAGAGGAUGACCAGCCACACUGGAACUGAGACACGGUCCAGACUCCUACGGGAGGCAGCAGUGGGGAAUAUUGCACAAUGGGCGCAAGCCUGAUGCAGCCAUGCCGCGUGUAUGAAGAAGGCCUUCGGGUUGUAAAGUACUUUCAGCGGGGAGGAAGGGAGUAAAGUUAAUACCUUUGCUCAUUGACGUUACCCGCAGAAGAAGCACCGGCUAACUCCGUGCCAGCAGCCGCGGUAAUACGGAGGGUGCAAGCGUUAAUCGGAAUUACUGGGCGUAAAGCGCACGCAGGCGGUUUGUUAAGUCAGAUGUGAAAUCCCCGGGCUCAACCUGGGAACUGCAUCUGAUACUGGCAAGCUUGAGUCUCGUAGAGGGGGGUAGAAUUCCAGGUGUAGCGGUGAAAUGCGUAGAGAUCUGGAGGAAUACCGGUGGUGAAGGCGGCCCCCUGGACGAAGACUGACGCUCAGGUGCGAAAGCGUGGGGAGCAAACAGGAUUAGAUACCCUGGUAGUCCACGCCGUAAACGAUGUCGACUUGGAGGUUGUGCCCUUGAGGCGUGGCUUCCGGAGCUAACGCGUUAAGUCGACCGCCUGGGGAGUACGGCCGCAAGGUUAAAACUCAAAUGAAUUGACGGGGGCCCGCACAAGCGGUGGAGCAUGUGGUUUAAUUCGAUGCAACGCGAAGAACCUUACCUGGUCUUGACAUCCACGGAAGUUUUCAGAGAUGAGAAUGUGCCUUCGGGAACCGUGAGACAGGUGCUGCAUGGCUGUCGUCAGCUCGUGUUGUGAAAUGUUGGGUUAAGUCCCGCAACGAGCGCAACCCUUAUCCUUUGUUGCCAGCGGUCCGGCCGGGAACUCAAAGGAGACUGCCAGUGAUAAACUGGAGGAAGGUGGGGAUGACGUCAAGUCAUCAUGGCCCUUACGACCAGGGCUACACACGUGCUACAAUGGCGCAUACAAAGAGAAGCGACCUCGCGAGAGCAAGCGGACCUCAUAAAGUGCGUCGUAGUCCGGAUUGGAGUCUGCAACUCGACUCCAUGAAGUCGGAAUCGCUAGUAAUCGUGGAUCAGAAUGCCACGGUGAAUACGUUCCCGGGCCUUGUACACACCGCCCGUCACACCAUGGGAGUGGGUUGCAAAAGAAGUAGGUAGCUUAACCUUCGGGAGGGCGCUUACCACUUUGUGAUUCAUGACUGGGGUGAAGUCGUAACAAGGUAACCGUAGGGGAACCUGCGGUUG